rnacentral:rRNA from 1 species
UAGGGAAUCUUCCGCAAUGGACGCAAGUCUGACGGAGCAACGCCGCGUGAGUGAAGAAGGAUUUCGGUUCGUAAAACUCUGUUGUUAGAGAAGAACAGCGCAUAGAGUAACUGUUAUGCGUGUGACGGUAUCUAACCAGAAAGCCACGGCUAACUACGUGCCAGCAGCCGCGGUAAUACGUAGGUGGCAAGCGUUGUCCGGAUUUAUUGGGCGUAAAGCGAGCGCAGGCGGUCAAUUAAGUCUGAUGUGAAAGCCCCCGGCUCAACCGGGGAGGGUCAUUGGAAACUGGUUGACUUGAGUGCAGAAGAGGAGAGUGGAAUUCCAUGUGUAGCGGUGAAAUGCGUAGAUAUAUGGAGGAACACCAGUGGCGAAGGCGACUCUCUGGUCUGUAACUGACGCUGAGGCUCGAAAGCGUGGGAAGCAAACAGG